CUCAGACAUGCUUUGUUUGAGAACAUUUACCAAACUCGAGUGGCCCGUGAGAACAAUAAGCUUCAACUAUUCGGGAGAGUAUAUUGCUUCAGCCAGUGAGGAUUCAUUUAUCGAUAUUUGACAAUGAUGCAUCAUCAAGUACAGAAAGCAAUCAAUGCUGAACAAGUGGUGUUUAGUUAAGGAGAAAGCUUCCGACUUGAAUGAAGGUGCAGACAAAGAAGCGUUACUUGCAACUCAUGUUCGACUUGAUGCCAAAAGAGAGAUGUGAUUCGUUUGCUUUGUUGUCUUCUUUUU